UGUUUGAUGUUCUAACGUGGACCCGUGAUCCGGGUUGCGGACAGUGUCUGGUGGGUAGUUUGACUGGGGCGGUCUCCUCCUAAAGAGUAACGGAGGAGCACGAAGGUUGGCUAAUCCUGGUCGGACAUCAGGAGGUUAGUGCAAUGGCAUAAGCCAGCUUGACUGCGAGCGUGACGGCGCGAGCAGGUGCGAAAGCAGGUCAUAGUGAUCCGGUGGUUCUGAAUGGAAGGGCCAUCGCUCAACGGAUAAAAGGUACUCCGGGGAUAACAGGCUGAUACCGCCCAAGAGUUCAUAUCGACGGCGGUGUUUGGCACCUCGAUGUCGGCUCAUCACAUCCUGGGGCUGAAGUAGGUCCCAAGGGUAUGGCUGUUCGCCAUUUAAAGUGGUACGCGAGCUGGGUUUAGAACGUCGUGAGACAGUUCGGUCCCUAUCUGCCGUGGGCGCUGGAGAACUGAGGGGGGCUGCUCCUAGUACGAGAGGACCGGAGUGGACGCAUCACUGGUGUUCGGGUUGUCAUGCCAAUGGCACUGCCCGGUAGCUAAAUGCGGAAGAGAUAAGUGCUGAAAGCAUCUAA
rnacentral:rRNA from 1 species